GGCGAUGAAGGACGUGCUAAUCUGCGAUAAGCGCCGGUAAGGUGAUAUGAACCGUUAUAACCGGCGAUUUCCGAAUGGGGAAACCCAGUGUGAUUCGUCACACUAUCAUUAACUGAAUCCAUAGGUUAAUGAGGCGAACCGGGGGAACUGAAACAUCUAAGUACCCCGAGGAAAAGAAAUCAACCGAGAUUCCCCCAGUAGCGGCGAGCGAACGGGGAGGAGCCCAGAGCCUGAAUCAGCAUGUGUGUUAGUGGAAGCGUCUGGAAAGGCGCGCGAUACAGGGUGACAGCCCCGUACACAAAAGCGCAUGUGCUGUGAGCUCGAUGAGUAGGGCGGGACACGUGGUAUCCUGUCUGAAUAUGGGGGGACCAUCCUCCAAGGCUAAAUACUCCUGACUGACCGAUAGUGAACCAGUACCGUGAGGGAAAGGCGAAAAGAACCCCGGCGAGGGGAGUGAAAAAGAACCUGAAACCGU
rnacentral:rRNA from 1 species